rnacentral:rRNA from 1 species
UUACGGAAGGCAGCAGUGGGGAAUAUUGCACAAUGGGCGAAAGCCUGAUGCAGCAACGCCGCGUGAGUGAAGAAGGCCUUCGGGUUGUAAAGCUCUGUCUUUUGGGACGAUAAUGACGGUACCAAAGGAGGAAGCCACGGCUAACUACGUGCCAGCAGCCGCGGUAAUACGUAGGUGGCAAGCGUUGUCCGGAUUUACUGGGCGUAAAGGAUGCGUAGGUGGAUAUUUAAGUGGGAUGUGAAAUACCCGGGCUUAACCUGGGUGCUGCAUUCCAAACUGGAUGUCUAGAGUGCAGGAGAGGUAAGUGGAAUUCCUAGUGUAGCGGUGAAAUGCGUAGAGAUUAGGAAGAACACCAGUGGCGAAGGCGACUUACUGGACUGUAACUGACACUGAGGCAUGAAAGCGUGGGGAGCAAACAGGAUUAGAUACCCGCGUAGUCCU